UACGAAGGGGGCUAGCGUUGCUCGGAAUUACUGGGCGUAAAGGGCGCGUAGGCGGACAGUUUAGUCAGAGGUGAAAGCCCAGGGCUCAACCUUGGAAUUGCCUUUGAUACUGGCUGUCUUGAGUUCGGGAGAGGUGGGUGGAAUACCCAGUGUAGAGGUGAAAUUCGUAGAUAUUGGGUGGAACACCGGUGGCGAAGGCGGCUCACUGGUCCGGUUCUGACGCUGAGGCGCGAAAGCGUGGGGAGCAAACAGG
rnacentral:rRNA from 1 species